rnacentral:lncRNA from 1 species
UUUUUUUUUUUUUUUUCAGUGGAAAAUAACUUUUAUUGAGACCCCACCAACUGCAAAAUCUGUUCCUGGCAUUAAGCUCCUUCUUCCUUUGCAAUUCGGUCUUUCUUCAGUGGUCCCAUGAAUGCUUUCUUCUCCUCCAUGGUCUGGAAGCGGCCAUGGCCAAACUUGGAGGUGGUGUCAAUGAACUUAAGGUCAAUCUUCUCCAGAGCCCGCCGCUUCGUCUGCACCAGCAAGGACUUGCAGGGUUGAUGCUCUUGUCAGAUAGGUCAUAGUCAGUGGAGGCAUUGUUCUUGAUCAGCUUGCCAUCCUUGAUAAGGUAGCCCUGGCCAAUCUUAUAGAUCUUCUUGUUGAUCUCAGUGCGGUGAUGGUAGCCUUUCUGCCCAGCGCGUGCCACAGAGAAUUUGAUGGCGUGAUGUCUCACAGAAAGUUCUCCGCUCCCAGACAUGGGUCCCUCGGCUUCCUGCCUCGGAAGCGCAGCAGCAGGCAUC